GUCCCCCUGUACCCACUAAAUCCACAAAACAUUGGUAUCGAACGAAUAUUAAUAAAUCAUCAGAUUAAUCUAGAGAGCUAUAACUUUAAACAAAUGUAGGAGGAAAGGGAAGGUCAAUUUGUACUCAAGUCCAACCAAAACAUUAAAGAUUAAACCAGCAAACUAAACUAAUGUAUGAUUAUGCUACCAUGUAUGAUCAGAAAAAAUUGUAUUCAAGUGACGAUUUGAAAACAUUCUUAGCAUUGUCUCUUAAUUGUACUGGUUUUAUUGCUCAACCGUACAAGCUAGCUACAAGAAUAAACUUUAAGAUUCUUCUCAUAUUGGUGGGUCGAACUUGGUUUUAUGGCUAUCCAAAAUCCCGCCUAUACCGUUAAAAUGACAACAAUAUGUGAUAGGAAUACAGCACAAAUACACGCAAUAACACGCACAACACAGAACUACAUGUAUAUGUAAUAUAAAAGUACAUUACAACAUGUGAACCAUAGAAUAAUAAAAAAAA
rnacentral:lncRNA from 1 species